UUACCUUCAUUUCAGGUAGAAAGACUUGGGACCAUAAUUUGUCCAUUCCCGAUAUAGCUCUUAAUUGGACAAUAGCUCUGUAUGAUCCACGUGACGUCUCAUCUGUCAAAAGUGUAAUAGAAUUUGGUUGAUAAGAUUCCCAUCUCUUUCCGUCAAAAUUAAAACUACAAAAUGAGGGUUUGGGAUCUUUAUCCAACAAGGACGUGUUGCAAUAUGGCUGGCUUCCUCCUACAAACUGGUGUUUGAAACUAUAUAGCUCUACUGCUAAAGGACAUGUUUGGGAAUUUUUACAUGCGAUUGGAACAGUUGAUUUUAUUUCAAUAGUGACAUGUUUUUUCUCGUUUAAG
rnacentral:lncRNA from 1 species